rnacentral:rRNA from 1 species
UACAGAGGGUGCGAGCGUUUAAUCGGAAUUACUGGGCGUAAAGCGCGCGUAGGCGGCUUUGCAAGUCGAGUGUGAAAUCCCCAGGCUCAACCUGGGAACUGCAUUCGAGACUGCAUAGCUAGAGUAUGGGAGAGGGAAGUGGAAUUUCAGGUGUAGCGGUGAAAUGCGUAGAUAUCUGAAGGAACAUCAGUGGCGAAAGCGACUUCCUGGACCAAUACUGACGCUCAUGUGCGAAAGCGUGGGGAGCAAACAGG